GACGAACGCUGGCGGCGUGCCUAAUACAUGCAAGUAGAACGCUGAAGAGAGGAGCUUGCUCUUCUUGGAUGAGUUGCGAACGGGUGAGUAACGCGUAGGUAACCUGCCUUGUAGCGGGGGAUAACUAUUGGAAACGAUAGCUAAUACCGCAUAACAAUGGAUGACCCAUGUCAUUUAUUUGAAAGGGGCAAAUGCUCCACUACAAGAUGGACCUGCGUUGUAUUAGCUAGUAGGUGAGGUAACGGCUCACCUAGGCGACGAUACAUAGCCGACCUGAGAGGGUGAGCGGCCACACUGGGACUGAGACACGGCCCAGACUCCGACGGUAGGCAGCAGUAGGGAAUCUUCGGCAAUGGGGGCAACCCUGACCGAGCAACGCCGCGUGAGUGAAGAAGGUGUUCGGAUCGUAAAGCUCUGUUGUAAGUCAAGAACGAGUGUGAGAGUGGAAAGUUCACACUGUGACGGUAGCUUACCAGAAAGGGACGGCUAACUACGUG
rnacentral:rRNA from 1 species